rnacentral:rRNA from 1 species
CGAACGGGUGAGUAAUGCGUGACCAACCUGCCCCAUGCUCCAGAAUAGCUCUUGGAAACGGGUGGUAAUGCUGGAUGCUCCAACUUGACGCAUGUCUUGUUGGGAAAGUGUUUAGUGGCAUGGGAUGGGGUCGCGUCCUAUCAGCUUGUAGGCGGGGUAAUGGCCCACCUAGGCUUCGACGGGUAGCCGGCCUGAGAGGGCGGACGGCCACAUUGGGACUGAGAUACGGCCCAGACUCCUACGGGAGGGCAGCAGGU